rnacentral:rRNA from 1 species
AUUGAACGCUGGCGGCAGGCUUAACACAUGCAAGUCGAGCGGGGUGAUGGUGCUUGCACUAUCACUUAGCGGCGGACGGGUGAGUAAUGCUUAGGAAUCUGCCUAUUAGUGGGGGACAACAUCUCGAAAGGGAUGCUAAUACCGCAUACGUACUACGUGAGAAAGCAGGGGAUCACUUGUGACCUUGCGCUAAUAGAUGAGCCUAAGUCGGAUUAGCGAGAUGGUGGGGUAAAGGCCUACCAAGGCGACGAUCUGUAGCGGGUCUGAGAGGAUGAUCCGCCACACUGGGACUGAGACGCGGCCCAGACUCCUACGGGAGGCAGCAGUGGGGAAUAUUGGACAAUGGGGGGAACCCUGAUCCAGCCAUGCCGCGUGUGUGAAGAAGGCCUUAUGGUUGUAAAGCACUUUAAGCGAGGAGGAGGCUCUUUUGGUUAAUACCCAAGAUGAGUGGACGUUACUCGCAGAAUAAGCACCGGCUAACUCUGUGCCAGCCGCCGCCGUAA